rnacentral:rRNA from 1 species
GGCUAAGACAUGCAAGUUGAGCGAGUAGACACUUAGGGNGUUGAGGAGCAGCGAACGGGUGAGUAAGACGUAAGUAACCUACCCUUAAGACGAGGAUAGAUUAUCGAAAGAUAGAGUAAUACUGGAUGGAGGAUAUCACUGCAUGGUGAUAGACCGAAAGGCAAGGAAGUGCGCUUAAGGAGGGGCUUGCGGCCUAUCAGCUAGUUGGUUAGGUAAGAGCUGACCAAGGCGAAGACGGGUAGCCGGUCUGAGAGGACGGACGGCCACAUUGGAACUGAGACACGGUCCAAACAUCUACGGAUGGCAGCAGUUUCGAAUUAUUCACAAUGGGCGAAAGCCUGAUGGUGCGACGUCGCGUGGAGGAAGAAGGUCCUUGGAUUGUAAACUCCUGUCAUUAGGGAGCAAGUUACGAUGGAGAAUUGUAAUUGAGUUAACCUAAGGAGGAAGCAGUGGCAAACUCCGUG